rnacentral:rRNA from 1 species
UACGUAGGUGGCAAGCGUUGUCCGGAAUUAUUGGGCGUAGAGCGCGCGAAGGCGGCUUCUUAAGUCUGAUGUGAAAUCUCGGGGCUCAACCCCGAGCGGCCAUUGGAAACUGGGAAGCUUGAGUGCAGAAGAGGAGAGUGGAAUUCCACGUGUAGCGGUGAAAUGCGUAGAUAUGUGGAGGAACACCAGUGGCGAAGGCGACUCUCUGGUCUGUCACUGACGCUGAGGCGCGAAAGCGUGGGGAGCAAACAGG